UACCAGCUCUCCGAGUGGUAGGGAUGAUUAUUGGGCUUAAAGCGUCCGUAGCCGGCUUAGCAAGUUUCCUGUUAAACUCAGCGACCUAAUCGUUGAAUCGCGGGAAAUACUACUAGGCUAGGAGGCGGGAGAGGUUGACGGUACUUCUGGGGUAGGGGUGAAAUCCUAUAAUCCCGGGAGGACCACCAGUGGCGAAGGCUGUCGACUAGAACGCGCCCGACGGUGAGGGAUGAAAGCUGGGGGGAGCGAACCGGAUUAGAUACCCGGGUAGUCCCAGUUGUAAACGAUGCAGGCUAGGUGUUUGGGCGGCCACGUGUCGCUCUAGUGCCGCAGGGAAGCCGUUAAGCCUGCCGCCUGGGGAGUACGGCCGCAAGGCUGAAACUUAAAGGAAUUGGCGGGGGAGCACCACAAGGGGUGAAGCUUGCGGUUU
rnacentral:rRNA from 1 species